UACGUAGGGUCCGAGCGUUGUCCGGAAUUAUUGGGCGUAAAGGGCUCGUAGGCGGUUUGUCGCGUCGGGAGUGAAAACGCCGGGCUUAACUCGGUGCUUGCUUUCGAUACGGGCAGACUAGAGGUAUGCAGGGGAGAACGGAAUUCCUGGUGUAGCGGUGAAAUGCGCAGAUAUCAGGAGGAACACCGGUGGCGAAGGCGGGUCUCUGGGCAACAACUGACGCUGAGGAGCGAAAGCGUGGGGAGCGAACAGG
rnacentral:rRNA from 1 species